AUUGAACGCUGGCGGCAGGCUUAACACAUGCAAGUCGAGCGGGGGAGGUUGCUUCGGUAACUGACCUAGCGGCGGACGGGUGAGUAAUGCUUAGGAAUCUGCCUAUUAGUGGGGGACAACAUCUCGAAAGGGAUGCUAAUACCGCAUACGUCCUACGGGAGAAAGCGGGGGACCUCCGGGCCUUGCGCUAAUAGAUGAGCCUAAGUCGGAUUAGCUAGUUGGUGGGGUAAAGGCCUAACAAGGCGACGAUCUGUAGCGGGUCUGAGAGGAUGAUCCGCCACAAUGGGACUGAGACACGGCCCAGACUCCUACGGGAGGCAGCAGUGGGGAAUAUUGGACAAUGGGGGGAACCCUGAUCCAGCCAUGCCGCGUGUGUGAAGAAGGCCUUUUGGUUGUAAAGCACUUUAAGCGAGGAGGAGGCUACUGGUAUUAAUACUACCGGAUAGUGGACGUUACUCGCAGAAUAAGCACCGGCUAACUCUGUGCCAGCCGCCGCGGUAAGAC
rnacentral:rRNA from 1 species